UUGGCUUCACACCUCGGCCGGCCGCUCUCGGCCCUCUCCACCUAGGCCUCCGGGGCCGCACACUUUCUCGCGGGGCAGGGUGGGGGUGUGCCGUCCACAUUUUUUAUUGCGGCUGCUCGAGUUCAGAAGUGACCUGCACCCCCACCACUCCCACCUGGAGGAGCAUUCGCCGGAGUCCGGUCGCCCCUACGCCCCUACUGGGCCAGCUUCCUGGGGGAAGUUCUCCUUAAGCCUGGCUAAUUAGCAUUAUUCCUGGAGAAAGGUUAAGGUUAGACCGUCCUUCUCCUUACCAGGAGGCCCACCCCCCUCUUCCCCAUUCCCGUCUCCCUUCCCCCUCCCCAAGAGCACAAAAGCACAAAAAGAAAGUGUGAAGAGGCGCAGAUCAAUGGAGAAGCCACAAACCCAUUAAUUCAAAUGGAACCUUUUUUCCCCCCUCUAAAACAUUGAUUUUUCUUUCUGUCUGCUCUGAGGGGAGAUUAAUAACCUCCUGAUUUCACCUGAAAUGGUGUUUGGACUCUGUGAUUUCCUCCUCUUUCUGAGAAGGAUUGUGGCUUGAAAUAGAUUCUCCCUUGAGAUAAAGCCCUACUUAUCCCAGAAUCAGCUGGAAACCCCAGCCUGGGGCCCCCAGCCUACCAGGUGGGGCUCUCACGGCUCCUCUGGGGAGUACCAUCUGUGUGACAGGAGUAGGGGUGCCAGCUUGACCCCCGCUUCUGGGAUGUAGGUUAGUCUGGGGGAAAGACCCACAUAUGGCCCAGUCCCUGUGGUAGGUUAGUCCUUCCUUAGUAAAUUACCCCUUCAUUGGAAAACCAUUAGGGCCCAAAUGUGCCUUUAAAUAAUAUCAAGCUCCUGUCUAAUCCCAGUUCAAGCUGGGCUUGUUAUAAGACAGCACCUCCUCCCACACCCACCCUACCACCGCUGGGCGACAGGACCCCAUUCAGCAACUUCCCGCAGCAGAGCAGGAGCAGAGCACCCCAGAACUUUCCUUCCAGCUAAGGAGGCGGAUGGGGGUGGGGGGACCGUCUAUGGCCUCAGCCACCCUGAGCUCCUGUGGAGCUGGGCCACCCCACGGAGUUGCUCAAGAACUUUUUUGUCUCGUCUGGGUCCUUUUCUUGGAAGGAAACUCCCGCAGGGGAUUAGCUCAGAGUGGUUCCUCUCUAGCCCUCCUUUUGGCUGGAAGAGCCCUGUCUGCUGCAGCUCAUCUCUCUGGCCACCCUCUUAAAGAGACCCCUGUUAAUGCCAGGGCCUGGGGUGUCAGUGAGGCCCUCGUGGUGAGGACUGCUGGGAAAACAGCCAGUUGCCUUUGCCUAGGAAACAAAAGCCCGUUUUACACUAGUAGGAAGGUGUUGAAAAUGCUCCCUCCCCAGCGCUCAGGCGUUGGCGAAGGCAAGGACAACAGAGCAUCCCCAUAUAUAUGUGCUUCUGACAGACCCCGUGUGUGUAGAGAGAACACCUAAAAGGUGGUAGGUGAUUGGCUGUCUCAGCUCUCCUCACUUCACAUUUCCCAGAAGGGCUUGUAUGACUUAUGGCUAGUGAGCAGAGGAGGUGUGUUAGCAGGAAGGAGCGGAAUUGUGCGGGGAGUGUCCUUGGGUGGCCAGGUGGGCUUGGAGUGUAGCAUGAAGCGGCUGCCUUGGGACCCCACAGCUCCCAGGUGCUGAGGCUCAGACCACCCUAAGAUUUCAUUUGUGCAAUCCCUUCACUACAGGGAUUUGAACCCUUGUUGCUUUAAAUCCUGGGGGUUUUUUGUCUUCCAUUAAUAAGCCAUCUGAUGAGCUGAAGUGGUUAAGUUGGGGUCAAAUGCGGUUCAGUACCUUCUUGGCAUGCUUAGAAGGCUGUGUGUGUAGCGCUCACUGACAUGGAGACAAGGCGCAGAAUUGCCUGUCCUGAAGAAUUUCCAGGGCCUGGAAGGAGCCUGCAGGUGUUCCAGAAGGAGGUGGCAAGUUUGUAGGCUUCCAGGUGUCUGAGAGCAGAGGUAAGAGGGGCAACCGUCUGGUCACUCAUGUGGGGCCUGAGGAGAGAGGGCCCAGAAGUACUCUUUGUAUAUAUACUCUUUGGUUUUCUAAUGCAAAAUCCGUUGAAGUGUGUUUACAGAAAGAGAGAAAUUAGUAGAACAGAUUCCCUUGCAAGCCCAGAAGGGAAAAGCCAGAGGUGCCUGACUCGUGAGCUCUGGGAGCCAGGGAGAGCACCCUAGGUCAGUGCACAGACCCUGCCACUCACAGACCCACGCCUCCUGCCUCCUGCCACUCCCUCCGGACUUGAGCUUGUUCCCAGCUCUGCACGGUCGCUGAUGGGCUGGGAGCUGUGCAUGCUGCUAAUUGCCUGUGUAAUUAGCCCGCUCCUGGAGCCCUGGCUCUGAGCAAGUGGGUGAAGUUUCAGUCUGUCCUCUGCCGAUGGGGGCUGUGCUGUCGCACCGGGUCGCAGGGGCAUCUGGGAAGGCUACUCUCCCCCAGACAACCCUGAAAGUAGAGUUGUGGCAGCCGUGUCAGUUUGACCAGGACUUACUCAUUUGCUGUUUUUAAGUCAGGUUUAUGGCACUGGAUUCCUCAUUUAAAAAAAAAAAAAAAGGCUGUAGCAGCA